rnacentral:rRNA from 1 species
GAGUUGUAAUCUCGAGAAGUGUUUUCCGCGCCAGACCGCAUAUAAGUCUGUUGGAAUACAGCGUCAUAGUGGUGAGAACCCCAUAACUGAUGCGGAUGCCUGGUGCUCUGUGCUACACUUUCGAAGAGUCGAGUUGUUUGGGAAUGCAGCUCAAAUUGGGUGGUAAAUUCCAUCUAAAGCUAAAUAUUGGCGAGAGACCGAUAGCGAACAAGUACCGUGAGGGAAAGAUGAAAAGCACUUUGGAAAGAGAGUUAACAGUACGUGAAAUUGUUGGAAGGGAAACGCUUGAAGUCAGACUUGCUAUUUGGAGUUCAGCCGCAAGGUGUAUUCUUCAAUUUGCAGGCCAGCAUCAGUUUUUAGGGGUGGAAAAGGGUAUUGAGAAGGUAGCAGUUUCGG